rnacentral:rRNA from 1 species
GACGAACGCUGGCGGCGUGCUUAACACAUGCAAGUCGAACGGAAAGGCCCUGCUUUUGUGGGGUGCUCGAGUGGCGAACGGGUGAGUAACACGUGAGUAACCUGCCCUUGACUUUGGGAUAACUUCAGGAAACUGGGGCUAAUACCGGAUAGGAUCUCCUGCUGCAUGGUGGGGGUUGGAAAGUUUCGGCGGUUGGGGAUGGACUCGCGGCUUAUCAGCUUGUUGGUGGGGUAGUGGCUUACCAAGGCUUUGACGGGUAGCCGGCCUGAGAGGGUGGCCGGCCACAUUGGGACUGAGAGACGGCGCAGACUCCUACGGGAGGCAGCAGUGGGGAAUAUGGCACAAUGGGCGGAAGCCUGAUGCAGCAACGCCGCGUGCGGGAUGACGGCCUUCGGGUUGUAAACCGCUUUCGCCUGUGACGAAGCGUGAGUGACGGUAAUGGGUAAAGAAGCACCGGCUAACUACGUG